UUCAGAAGACUAUACCAAUAUAUAUAUAUGAUUUGAACUGCGCAGUGGUUUCCAAAUCAGGAAGCUCUCCCUAAAGUUUUCUUUCUGUAGGGGUGUUUUGGGGCCAGUGUCUUGUUUGGGCCUCUUGGUAAAGAAUGUAGUUUUGAAGGACAUGGUCCAGCAUUCUCUGGUGACACUCCACAUGUGCAGUUUUCACUGGUUCCAAUUUGGAGCUUCCGAAACAUAUGUUGUCUCAUUCUGUUGUGUCCGGUUCUGUGGCGAAAGAUUAGACGUUAAUCUUGUCGGCAUAGCUUAUAAUAGGCAUCAUCUUUCUUGUGAUUAGGAUGAGAGCUUGUCCAUUUCUCAUUUAUUCUAUUCACAAUUAGUUUCUUCAUUUCUUCUGGAUAGAGUGCAAUGUUUAAAUGUGUUUUUGUUCUCCCACACUUGAGGGGUGGCUGGCUGUUUAGAGCUACAAUCCAACUUGAACUCAUAUUAAUACCAAGCCUUGUGUUGUUAAGAAAGAAAGAAAGAUGGUCACUUACUAUAAUAAUGGCAGCGUAGAUAAUCCAUGUCAAAGACAGUCAACAGUGGCAGUCACAGUAACACUAAAAAUAUUAUACAGUACACAAAAUAUAAAGGAAAUCAACUUAUUAAGGCAAGUUUGGGCUCAUCCUGAUGAUGUUAAAUGAAGUCACUCCAUGAUGAAGUGUCAUGUGGCGUCAGACAUUAGCAAUUCUUGUUGAUAAUAUGAAAUAUUUAAAAAUGAUUUAUGCAUUGUUUAAUGGCUUAUUUUUGAUCAACCUACUGGAGAGAAUGCUAUCAAGAUGUUAUUUUACAUUAUAUUUAUAAAUAUUAUAAAGCUGAGGAAGUUUCUACCAAACGGCAUUCUAGAAAAAGGAUCAAAGUCAAUUUACAACAAUUGGACAAGCUGUGAAUGAAUGUUAGCUGCAUGUGAGAUGAAUCAUUCAAAUUAAAAAUCAUAUAAUGGGGUAGCUGUGUUCCGAAUUUCAUGCUUCUAUCUAUUAUGGUUAUAAAGUUAUGAUGAGAUAAAGAUGAAAAUUCACUUUUUCGAUCACAAUUUUUUUGACAUUUUUUAUCUAGUCCAUUUUUCUACACAUAUAAUGGCAUAACUUUGCUCCUAUAUAACAUAGAAAGAUAAAUUUGGUAUCAUUGUAAACCUCUCAGCAAACUGUACAUAACUAGAUACUUUCUGUUAUAUAUAAUAUUUACUUUGAAUUUUUUGUCAGAGUACCUAUAUACAGUAGUGAGUGACUAGUGAGCAGUGUGAGUGGUAGGUAGUGAUACUCUGACUAGUCUGAGUGUUACUACAUUAAUAUUUCUAGAGAUGAGAUCUAAUUAUUAUUAAAUAAUUAUAUAAUAGAUCUAAAUAAUCUAAUUUUUUCAAAAUUAUAUUAUUUUAGAUCUAGAUCUAAUAAUAAUUGAGUUUAAAUUUUCAGUUUUAAAAUUAAAAUCUUAAGUUUAAGUUAACCUAGAAUUUCUAGAUCUAUUAUCUAUUAUAAAUUUUAAUUUUAGAUUGUCCUAGAAUCCUAGAGAUCUAGAUCUCUCCUCUACUAGAUAAUAAGAUUAUAUAGAGUAGUAUAGACUAAUGACGUAGUCGGUCGUAGUAAGUACUUUAAGUUUAAGCAGAUCUAUCAAUAUCAUGAUCUAGAUCUAUAAAUUAAAUAUAGUAGUUUAUUUAUUUCAGACAUUACAUGAAUUCGGACAUUCGAUGUUUUUGUGGUCAUUAAAUAAUUAUUUUAAUAUUUAUUAUAAAACUAGCACGCUGUAUAAUGUGCUUGUCCAUUUUCCAAUGAUUCUGACCCAACUUCCAUCCAUUUAGCUGUCUUUUUAUGUAAGAAAAACGAAUUUCAAAUUGGUUCUUUUAGUCAGGUUGUUGUUUUUUCCUAUGUUACCCAGAUGAUUUUACCUCUUCCUAGGGUUAAGACUAUAUUUUUUGAUUGGCUAAGUCUAUACUAAUGAGCCCGGCAAUAUUUAUUCUGUUUUUUGAGAUGAUUUAUUUGAUUAAUAAGCCAAGUUGUUUGAUUCCAUAUCAAAAAAAACUUAAUAGGGUGUCCGAAUUAAAUUACGAUUUUCUUACCAAAAUUUAUUUCAGACAGCCAGUUUUGGACAUCAAUGUUAAUGAUCUUAUAUUAUAUUUGUUCCUUUGUUGUUGUUUUUUUAAAAGAGAAUAAAUGGGCAAACGUUUGGAGUGAGCUUGGUACAUUGAAUGAAGUUAAAUGCUUAGAUCUAGACCUACUAGAU